AACGAACGCUGGCGGCGUGGAUAAGACAUGCAAGUCGAACGGGAUAUUUUGUAGCAAUACCGGAAUAUUCAGUGGCGAACGGGUGCGUAACACGUGGGUAACAUGCCGGGAAGAGGAGAAUAGCCCAGGGAAACUUGGCUUAAUGCUCCAUGUGGUCGCAAGACUAAAGACGGGGUAACCUGUCGCUUCCUGAUUGGCCCGCGGCCUAUCAGCUAGUUGGCGAGGUAACGGCUCACCAAGGCGACGACGGGUAGCUGGUCUGAGAGGAUGACCAGCCACACUGGAACUGAGACACGGUCCAGACACCUACGGGUGGCAGCAGUCGAGAAUCUUUCGCAAUGGGGGCAACCCUGAUGGAGCGACGCCGCGUGGAGGAUAAGGUCUUCGGAUUGUAAACUCCUGUCAUGCGAGAGUAAGGCCCCGCGUUAACUGCGUGUGGGAUUGACAGUAUCGCAAGAGGAAGAGACGGCUAACUCUGUGCCAGCAGCCGCGGUAACAC
rnacentral:rRNA from 1 species